rnacentral:rRNA from 1 species
CCUGGUUGCUCCUGCCCGUCGUCCUCUGCUUGUCUCCCCGCUUCCGCCCUGCCUGUGUCCGUCUGCCCCCUUCCGCCUGUGCCCCUGCGCCUGGCUCCUUCCCUCCGUUCUCGUUUGUUUGCUGGUCUCUCCUCCUCGGCUCCCCGUCGUCCUUCUCGCGCUCCUCCGUGCCCCCCCCCCCCUUCUGGCCGGGCUGCCUUUCUUCGCUCCCGGUCGCCGCGGGCUCUGCCCGUUGCUGCGCUGCUUCCUGCUCCCUCGCCGGCUCGCCCGGCCCUCGUGCCGGCGCCGCCUCCUUCCCCUUUCUGCCCUCUCCCCUUUCGCUGGUCGGCUCGUGGCCUCCCCUGGUGGUGCCGGGUGCCGGCGCCUUCGGGUUCGCUUCCGGCGCGGGCGCCUGCGCCCCGGCUCCCCCCUCCCGGCCGGCCGCCGGCGCGCCCCUUCCCCCUCCUGCCCCGGGGCGGUCGUGCCCCUCCCUCCCUCCCGGGCUCUCUGCGUCUGGUCCUUGGCCUGCGUCCCCUCUCCCUCCCUUCCCGCGGCUCCUUGGCGGGCCCGUCUGGUGCCCGCCGCCGCGGUCCUUCCCGCUCCCCUCGCGUCUCUUUCCGUUGUUGCCGUUCCCCCGCUCGUCGUUGGCCUUUGGGCUGGGCCGGCCGGUCCGCCCUCGGUGUGCCCCGGUCGUCUCGUCCCUUCUGUCGGCGCUGCGCUCCUGGCCUUCCUUGGCCGGGUCGUGCCUCCGGCGCUGUUCCUUUGCCGCCCUUCGCGUGCUCCCCGCCCGCCUCCGCUCUGUCUCCCUUCGCCUGGGCUCCCUUCUCGGCUUUCGGUCCUCUUCCGUUGGCCUUCGGGCUCGGCGUCCUGCUUCCCCGGGCCCGUCGGGGGCCUUCGUCUUUCCUCGUCCGCGGUGCCUUCUUGGCUUUCUGCCGCCGCCCCCUGCGCCCGCCUUUGCCCCGGCUGUUUUCCUUCCUCCCGCCCGCCCGUUGGGGGCUCGCCGCCGCUCCGCUCCCGUCCUCGUCUCCCCCCUCCUGCCGCCCCGGGCUCGGCGGCUGUUGCUUUUGGCCUCCGCCGGCCCCUUCUGCGCCCUCCCCGUUUUUGGGUUCCGGGGGGCGUCUGGUCGCCCGGCUGCCCCUUCCCGGCCUUGCCGGCCGGGCCCCCCCCGGCGUGGCGCCUGCGGCUUCCUUUGCCUCCCCGGGGCCCUUCCCCGGUCCCGCCCUCGUCCGGCUUGCCCGCCUGCGCGCUCUUUCUUGCUUCUCUGGGUGGUGGUGCCUGGCCGUUCUUCGUUGGUGGCGCGCUUUGUCUGGUUCCUUCCGUUCCCGCCCGCGCCUCCGCCUGCUCCCUCGCUCUGCGGCGGUCUCCCUUCGCGGCCCGCUUCUUCGCGGGGCCUCCGGCCUUUUCGGCCGCGGCCGUUUGCGGCCCUCCCGGUCUGUGCUGCCCUUCGCUGUUCUGGGCCGCACCGCGCGCUCCCCUGCUGUCUUCCCGCGCUUCUCGCCUUGGCCGACAGGCCCGGGUUCUUUGUUUUCAUCGUGCUGGGGCUCGCUCAUUGCCCUUGUUGGUCUUCCCCGCGGCCUUCCUCGUCCGCGCGAGUCAUCAGCUCGCGUUGCCUCGUCCCUGCCCUUUGUCCACCGCCCGUCGCUCCUCCCGCUUGCCUGCUCCGGUGAAAUGUUCGGAUCGCGGCGACCGUGGGCGGUUCGCUGCCCGCGCCGUCGCGAGAAGUCCCUUGAACCUUAUCCUUUAGAGGCCGGCGAAGUCGUAACAAGGUUUCCGUAGGUGAACCUGCGGAAG